UACGUAGGGGGCGAGCGUUGUCCGGAUUUAUUGGGCGUAAAGAGCGUGUAGGCGGCCAGGUAGGUCUGCUGUGAAAACUCGAGGCUCAACCUCGAGACGUCGGCGGAAACCAUCUGGCUAGAGUCCGGAAGAGGAGAGUGGAAUUCCUGGUGUAGCGGUGAAAUGCGCAGAUAUCAGGAGGAACACCGGUGGCGAAGGCGGAUCUCUGGGCCGAUACUGACGCUGAGGAGCGAAAGCGUGGGGAGCGAACAGG
rnacentral:rRNA from 1 species